UGGAAGGGGGAGGAGCUUUACAUUCCUGCUCCUCCUUGAGGGACUCUGGUGGAUACCGAUUGUUGGAGGAGAGGGCAUCGUUUUCUUCAGUGGAGCAGCUACUGGAAGUUCCUGUUCUUAGAUGAUAAAUUUCUUGAGGAACGAACCAUGCCUUAUGACACCAUUGUACCGUGUGCGAGUGUGAAGAGACUAGAUGCUGCAGAAUCCUGGCUGGUUUGUUUGCUCCGGGUUCACUCAGUAGCAGAAAUGGAGAGCCACAGGCUGUAGUUCAGUUUAGUAACUGAGAAGAAUAUAAGAGCAUGACUGAAAGAUGAAAGAGGGUUGACAAGAUGGCUCCGUGAGUGAAGACCCUUGGUUCCAGUCUUGAGAACCUGAGUUCAGUUCUCAGGACCCACAUAGUGAAAGGAGAG